ensembl:lncRNA
UUAAAAUAGCUGGUUGUUUAGAACCUUCUAUGUGAAGAGUUUUGGCCCUGAGUAGUCUGCCAAAUAAGAAGCAAAAGCAAGAGAGCAAUUAAUGGCAGAUUCUGCAAAUUGAAUGACUUCCAUCUUUGGCACAGAGACGCUGCAUAAGGGAACUCUAGCACUGUGUGUGUAGUGCUUUGAAGUCUGAUGUCCAUUACCAUUUUUACCAGUAACAUUCAUCCAGUUGUGCAGGGAGCUAAAAGGAAAGGACAACUGAAAGGACUGGAGCCAAACAUCUUCAAAGAAGCUGUGAAAACUUUUCCUGAAAUGAUCCCACUCUGCCUUCUGGCUGAAGAAUAUGACUGAUGUCUUUUCUUCCCCAGUGCAGAAGUACAUCUGUGGAGUAGAGAGACUAGCUUCUACGGCACAUGGGAGAAUAACUUCAUUUUAUGAAUAGUGAAUCCCUGUAUAAUGUCAUCUUCACAUAAUCUCUAUUUUGCUGCUCCAAAACAGAUUUUAUUUCAGUAAAUGUGCAGAC